CAGUAGAAAGCUAACAUUGCACCACUUCAUGAGUAAGAACUGAUUCCAAGCCAUCAAGAGGAGGAAGCGAGAGGAACCAAGAAAAGGCCAUACAUUUCAACUAUCAUAGCUGUCUUGCACUCGAGGCGGCUGCUUCCCUUCGAUGGGCUCGGUGACUGCGUAGAUCUCGGCGAGGCUACGGCACGUCUUCCUGCGAGUUCUUGCCCUGCGUCUCUUCACCUCCGCUGCCGCCACCGAUACUAAUAUCGUCAAGGCUUCUUGCCUCCAUUCAUCGUCGUGUUGAGCGAGCUUUUCUUUUCCUACUGCAAGCGACGCCAUCUCUUGAUGCAGCCUCCGCUCUGCCAUUGCCAUCCCUCUGUGUUUGUUUCUGGAUGCAAAUAGAAACCAAUGACUACUGCGCAUUGAUCCCUGAAGAGGAGUUAGCAACACAGCUUGAAAUGGAGCCCAAGUUCACCAAGAAAGAUUGCCAUGGCCUCUGGAAGUGCUUCUUUUGCCUCGAGAACCAGACAAGGAUCACAGCAGGAGAGGCCAUUGGAGGUGAUGGAGUAAUACGUCGUGACGAGCAAACGAUAACUCCGGCAAAUGGUCGCGUCGCACAUGAGGAAGAGAGCCGAGAGCAGAAAGGGUCUCCAAAGCGUUCCUGAGGAUAGCUGAAGACUGCACCAUUUUCUCAGUCUUCUCUAGUCCUGCAUCAUAUCAUCUUCUAUGGAUCCCAAUUUGUAUUUUGGUGUUCGACUCAUUGUUAACUUCGCAAUCUCCUUAAUGCAAAAAAGAUUGGUCUUAA